UACAGAGGAGGCAAGCGUUGUUCGGAAUUACUGGGCGUAAAGGGCGCGUAGGCGGUCCUGUAAGUCCCGUGUGAAAUCACCCGGCUCAACUGGGGAAUGGCACGGGAGACUGCGGGGCUUGAGUUCGGGAGAGGGAAGCGGAAUUCCGGGUGUAGCGGUGAAAUGCGUAGAUAUCCGGAGGAACACCGGUGGCGAAGGCGGCGUCCUGGACCGACACUGACGCUAAGGCGCGAAAGCUAGGGGAGCAAACGGG
rnacentral:rRNA from 1 species